rnacentral:rRNA from 1 species
AAAAAUUAAAUUUUAAUAAUAUUAAAGUAGUAAUAGAUUAGUCUUGAAACUUAAAAAAUUUGGCGGUAAUUUAGUCUAUUCAGAGGAACUUGUUUAAUAAUUGAUAGUCCACAAUAUAUCUUACUUAAUUUUAUUUUAUUUUGUAUAUCGUUGUCUUUAGAAUAUUUUAAAAAAAUAAUAAUUUUCUUAUUUUUAGAUUUAAAAAUAUGUCAAAUCAAGGUGCAGAUUAUAGUUAAGAAUAAAUGAGUUACAAUAAUAGUUAAUUAUACAGUUUAUCUUUUGAAAUAAAUGAUAUUAAGGUGGAUUUGAUAGUAAAUUAGUUAAAGGUAAAUUUAUUGAGUUUAGCUCUAAAUUAUGC